rnacentral:rRNA from 1 species
UUAGGUGAAAUUAUUAUUAUUUUGUAAAUUUAAAUGGAAGCUAAUAAACUUUAAAGAUAAACUAGGAUUAGAUACCCUAUUAUAUUAAAGUUAAAUUUAAAUAAAUAUUAAAUUAUUAAUAGAUAUAUCUUAAAACUUAAAGAAUUUGGCGGUAAUUUAGUCUUGUCAGAGGAACCUGUUUAAAAUUGAUCGAUAUACCUCGUAAUAUCUUACUUGAGUUUGUAUACCAUCAUUAUUAGAUAAUUUUUAAAAAAUAAAUUAUUGGGAUUAAAUUAUUAAAAAAAUUAGAUCAAGGUGCAGCUUAUAAAUAAGUUUAAAUGGGUUACAAUAAAUUUUAUUUAUAUGGAGUAGAUUUUAUGAAGGAGGAUUUGAUAGUAUAUAAGUUUAAUAAGCUUAUAAGAUAAAAGCUCUAAAUUAUGUACAUAUCGCCCGUCGCUUUC